rnacentral:tRNA from 1 species
GGGCCCGUAGUCUAGUGGCUAUGACGUCGCCUCGACAUGGCGGAGAUCAAGGGUUCGAAUCCCUUCGGGCCCA